UUAAUUGUAGUAUAUUUAUUAUGAAGAAUUUAGAUUUCUUAGAUCUUUGGCGAUUAAU
rnacentral:tRNA from 1 species